rnacentral:rRNA from 1 species
CCCAGCAGCCCAAGACUGGUUGCCCACUGAAGCUAAGCAGGUUUGAGCCUGGUCAGUACCUGGAUGGGAGACCUCCUGGGGAAACUAGGUUGCUGCUGGAA